UCGAACGGUAGCACAGAGAGCUUGCUCUCGGGUGACGAGUGGCGGACGGGUGAGUAAUGUCUGGGAAACUGCCUGAUGGAGGGGGAUAACUACUGGAAACGGUAGCUAAUACCGCAUAACGUCGCAAGACCAAAGAGGGGGACCUUCGGGCCUCUUGCCAUCAGAUGUGCCCAGAUGGGAUUAGCUAGUAGGUGGGGUAACGGCUCACCUAGGCGACGAUCCCUAGCUGGUCUGAGAGGAUGACCAGCCACACUGGAACUGAGACACGGUCCAGACUCCUACGGGAGGCAGCAGUGGGGAAUAUUGCACAAUGGGCGCAAGCCUGAUGCAGCCAUGCCGCGUGUAUGAAGAAGGCCUUCGGGUUGUAAAGUACUUUCAGCGGGGAGGAAGGUGUUGUGGUUAAUAACCGCAGCAAUUGACGUUACCCGCAGAAGAAGCACCGGCUAACUCCGUGCCCGCAGCCGCGGUAAUACGGAGGGUGCAAGCGUUAAUCGGAAUUACUGGGCGUAAAGCGCACGCAGGCGGUCUGUCAAGUCGGAUGUGAAAUCCCCGGGCUCAACCUGGGAACUGCAUUCGAAACUGGCAGGCUAGAGUCUUGUAGAGGGGGGUAGAAUUCCAGGUGUAGCGGUGAAAUGCGUAGAGAUCUGGAGGAAUACCGGUGGCGAAGGCGGCCCCCUGGACAAAGACUGACGCUCAGGUGCGAAAG
rnacentral:rRNA from 1 species